UGAUGACAAAAUCAGUAGCUCUCUUUACAUCAAGGGGGCUUUAACACUUCAAUCCUGAGACUUCUGUUUUUGGUUAUGCUUCUGUACUACCAGCCUGAAGCCAGUCCAUAAGCUGCCUCAGUCCCUUCCACCCAAAACUCACACUCUUUCUCUCCCUCCCUUUCUCUCUUGUAAAACAAUGUUGCAAAUACAUUUUGAGCAUUGUUUUUA